CCUACGGGUGGCAGCAGUGGGGAAUAUUGGACAAUGGGGGCAACCCUGAUCCAGCCAUGCCGCGUGUGUGAAGAAGGCCCUCGGGUUGUAAAGCACUUUCAGUGAGGAAGAACGCCUGGUGGUUAAUACCCAUCAGGAAAGAUAUCACUCAUAGAAGAAGCACCGGCUAACUCCGUGCCAGCAGCCGCGGUAAUACGGAGGGUGCGAGCGUUAAUCGGAAUUACUGGGCGUAAAGCGCGCGUAGGUGGCUUGAUAAGCCGGUUGUGAAAGCCCCGGGCUCAACCUGGGAACGGCAUCCGGAACUGUCAAGCUAGAGUGCAGGAGAGGAAGGUAGAAUUCCCGGUGUAGCGGUGAAAUGCGUAGAGAUCGGGAGGAAUACCAGUGGCGAAGGCGGCCUUCUGGACUGACACUGACACUGAGGUGCGAAAGCGUGGGUAGCAAACAGGAUUAGAUACCCCUGUAGUC
rnacentral:rRNA from 1 species